GAUGAACGCUGGCGGCGUGCCUAAUACAUGCAAGUCGAGCGAACAGACGAGGAGCUUGCUCCUCUGACGUUAGCGGCGGACGGGUGAGUAACACGUGGAUAACCUACCUAUAAGACUGGGAUAACUUCGGGAAACCGGAGCUAAUACCGGAUAAUAUAUUGAACCGCAUGGUUCAAUAGUGAAAGACGGUUUUGCUGUCACUUAUAGAUGGAUCCGCGCCGCAUUAGCUAGUUGGUAAGGUAACGGCUUACCAAGGCCACGAUGCGUAGCCGACCUGGGAGGGUGAUCGGCCACACUGGAACUGAGACACGGUCCAGACUCCUACGGGAGGCAGCAGUAGGGAAUCUUCCGCAAUGGGCGAAAGCUUGACGGAGCAACGCCGCGUGAGUGAUGAAGGUCUUCGGAUCGUAAAACUCUGUUAUUAGGGAAGAACAAAUGUGUAAGUAACUAUGCACGUCUUGACGGUACCUAAUCAGAAAGCCACGGCUAACUACGUG
rnacentral:rRNA from 1 species